rnacentral:rRNA from 1 species
GUACGCUAUUCAGAGUUUGAUCCUGGCUCAGGAUUAACGCUGGCGGCGUGCAUAACACAUUCAAGUCGAACGGAGAGAGGUGCUUCGGUACUUCUCUUAGUGGCGGACGGGUGAGUAACGCGUGAGCAAUCUACCUUCCAGUGGGGAAUAACAACCGGAAACAGUUGCUAAUACCUCAUGAAAUGGCAGUACCGCAUGGUGCAACCAUCAAAGAUUUAUCGCUGGAAGAUGAGCUUGCGUCCGAUUAGAUAGUUGGCGGGGUAACGGCCCACCAAGUCGACGAUCGGUAGCCGGACUGAGAGGUUGAACGGCCACAUUGGAACUGAGAUACGGUCCAG